rnacentral:lncRNA from 1 species
UGAUGCUCCAUAUCAUAUUUUUUGCAGAGGAUCUAUAAAUAAGUGUAGAUACAUAUAAGGGCGGCGAACUGGUAGUGUUAUAUCUCUUUGGGCAUGUCAUAGCAGGGUUAUGCAGCCAGAAUUCUUUGCUCCAGCAGUACAUUAUUAACAGUAGCUCAACCUGAAAAAACCAGCGGUUGCGACUUGCGACGACCCUGACAUUCCUCUGCUUCCAGAUGCUCCAGCAUACUAAGGUUGUCUGGCCAUUUGAUUUUUUUUGUUUUGCCUCUGAUGUUGAGCCAGGUACAAAUGCAUUUACUGCAUUUCCAUGUUCGUCGACGACCUCCGAUGAGCUGUGAGCUUGUGAGAACAUUUCGAGAUGAUUUAUGCAGAAGUUUAUUGGAAGGUAGUACAUGAGAGCCAAAUUAGAAGAUGUGAUUUAUGAGAUCGAGGUUGUCUGAGUGUUGAAAUUUCAUACUAUGAACUGACUGCUCAGUGUUUAAUGUGGGAAGAAUGUGACUAGUGUUAAUCCUCCUCUGAAACUUUUGUGGCCAACACCGGUUUCCUACAAAGGAUGCGAAGCUGAAUUACAUCCUUGGGGCUCAGGAUGCAGAUGUAGAAGGUUUUGUUUAAGAAGUGGCUAUGUAGACAUGGGUGUCCAUCGAUUAUCAUGAUGGGCAACAUAUUUAUUUGUAUACACCCUGAUCCAAUUUGACUACCUCUACUGGAUAGACCUCAACAGAAAACUGUUGAGUAACGGCAGUAAGUGAUUGAGUUCAGUAGUUCCUCCUAGAAAAUUAUUGACUCUAGAGAUAUGAUAAUAUGGAGAAGAUAAAAUUGUUUGAAUGCAACCGAUACACAAGCAUAUCGGGGAAUCUGAAAUCCUCUUGCUUCUUUAGGUGCCAAGGGUACUGUUUGGUUCUCUC